GAUGAACGCUGGCGGCGUGCCUAAUACGUGCAAGUCGAGCGAACGGACGAGAAGCUUGCUUCUCUGAUGUUAGCGGCGGACGGGUGAGUAACACGUGGAUAACCUACCUAUAAGACUGGGAUAACUUCGGGAAACCGGAGCUAAUACCGGAUGAUAUUUUGAACCGCAUGGUUCAAAAGUGAAAGACGGUCUUGCUGUCACUUAUAGAUGGAUCCGCGCUGCAUUAGCUAGUUGGUAAGGUAACGGCUUACCAAGGCAACGAUGCAUAGCCGACCUGAGAGGGUGAUCGGCCACACUGGAACUGAGACACGGUCCAGACUCCUACGGGAGGCAGCAGCAGGGAAUCUUCCGCAAUGGGCGAAAGCCUGACGGAGCAACGCCGCGUGAGUGAUGAAGGUCUUCGGAUCGUAAAACUCUGUUAUUAGGGAAGAACAUAUGUGUAAGUAACUGUGCACAUCUUGACGGUACCUAAUCAGAAAGCCACGGCUAACUACGUG
rnacentral:rRNA from 1 species